rnacentral:rRNA from 1 species
UACGGAGGGGGCUAGCGUUGUUCGGAAUUAUUGGGCGUAAAGAGCGCGUAGGCGGUCCGAUAAGUCGGCUGUGAAAGUCAAGGGCUCGACCCUUGAAAGCCGGCCGAUACUGUCGGACUAGAGUCCGGAAGAGGCGAGUGGAAUUCCCGGUGUAGCGGUGAAAUGCGCAGAUAUCUGGAGGAACACCGGUGGCGAAGGCGGGUCUCUGGGCAUUACCUGACGCUGAGGAGCGAAAGUGUGGGGAGCGAACAGG